UCGCGAGAGCUAGCAAAUCCCAUAAACCGUGGCUCAGUUCAGAUCGUAGGCUGCAACUCGCCUACGUGAAGGAGGAAUCGCUAGUAAUCGCAGGUCAGCAUACUGCGGUGAAUACGUUCCCGGGCCUUGUACACACCGCCCGUCACACCAUGGAAGUUGGCCACGCCCGAAGCCGUUACUCCAACCCUUGUGGAGGAGGACGUCGAAGGUGGGGCUGAUGACUGGGGUGAAGUCGUAACAAGGUAGCCGUACCGGAAGGUGCGGCUGGAUCACCUCCUAA
rnacentral:rRNA from 2 species